AUUGAACGCUGGCGGCAUGCCUUACACAUGCAAGUCGAUCGGCGGCACGGGAGCAAUCCUGGUGGCGAGUGGCGAACGGGUGAGUAAAGUAUCGGAACGUGCCCAGUCGUGGGGGAUAACGUAGCGAAAGUUACGCUAAUACCGCAUACGAUCUAUGGAUGAAAGCGGGGGAUCGCAAGACCUCGCGCGAUUGGAGCGGCCGAUAUAAGAUUAGGUAGUUGGUGGGGUAAAGGCACACCAAGCCGACGAUCUGUAGCUGGGCUGAGAGGACGACCAGCCACACUGGGACGGAGACACGGCCCAGACUCCUACUGGGGGCAGCAGUAGGGAAUUUUGGACAAUGGGCGGAAGCCGGAUCCAGCCAUGCCGCGUGCAGGAUGAAGGCCUUCGGGUUGUAAACUGCUUUUGUACGGAACGAAAAGGUUUGAGCUAAUAAGCUGAGCUCAUGACGGUACCGUAAGAAUAAGCACCGGCUAACUACGUGCCAGCCGCCGCCGUAA
rnacentral:rRNA from 1 species